rnacentral:rRNA from 1 species
AGCUCGACACCUACGGGAGGUAGCAGUGGGGAAUAUUGCACAAUGGGGGAAACCCUGAUGCAGCGACGCCGCGUGAAGGAAGAAGUAUCUCGGUAUGUAAACUUCUAUCAGCAGGGAAGAAAAUGACGGUACCUGACUAAGAAGCCCCGGCUAAUUACGUGCCAGCAGCCGCGGUAAUCUGAGCGGGCUGGCAAGGC